AUCGCAAACGCACACUUUGUGCCAGCGUGUGGAUCGCGCGCGCCCAUAGUGCCGUGUUUCCGGGACCAAAAAUUUUCAGUCCGCGCACAUUUUCCCGCACACAAACUCAAACCGCGGUCGCGUAAAGGUGAACCUCUGUCCGGGGGCAGAUCUCAACAUCGACGGGUGAAGAUUUUUGCUUGAUCUGCAAUUUGAAAAUUUUACAGUGAAGCACAAAUUUUGCAUAAUCAUCAGUGGUGCUCUCGCCCUAAGUGUGAAGGUAUAAAAGAGCGAUAGAGCGAGAGAGAGAGAGAGUGAAAGAAAGCGAAGAAUAAAACGGAAGGCGAAGCAGAAAGUCCUUCUCCGGUGUGCCAUAUUAUAUUAUUUAAAGUGUGUUUGUGUGAGUGAGUGUUUAUUUUUUGCGCACCUGUUUUUGCUGCACGAUUUUGUGCACGUGAAAGUUGUGCCGCCAAAAGUUUGAGGAAAAAGCAAAAUAUAAUAGUCACAGCAGCAAAAUUUAUCUUCCCUUACCCCCCUCCCUCGUGCGCUUCCAGUGCAACCGAUAAUACCCAUGCUGUUGUCGUGGUAAAUAGUGUGCUUCCUUGCAAGAAGAGGGUAUUUAAACAAGUUUUGGCAAUCGCGUGAAGAUUUCAAAUUUAAGGGAAAUUGUGUGAGUCUGUGUGCUUCCUAGGUUGCGCGGGUAGUUGGCGAGUGUGUGAGUGAGAGAGAGAAAGAGAGAGAGAGAGAGAGCGAUUGAAGAAGGGAACAUACAACAAAAUAC